UCAAAAGGUGCCUUUCUCUUUCUCUUCCAAGUCUUCUUAUAGCUUCAGAUGACCUUUUCCAAAGCUAAAAGUCCAAACUACCCUUGCUGAGCAGAACCCAUUCAAAUAGCAAAAAUUAGGUUUUCCAACUGCGUGCAAAAAACACGGCCGUGUGGUGGAACACGGGCGGCCGUGUGGAUCCUCAUGAUUUAUUUAUUUUCGCAUCAGUU
rnacentral:lncRNA from 1 species